rnacentral:lncRNA from 1 species
AUGCAGGGAUUUGGGAUACAGGGGCUGGAAUACUGCCAGGGAUGUGGGAUGCAGGAUAAGGUUGGGAUACAGGAGGGGUUGGAAUGCGGGAUGCAGGGUUGGGAUGCAGGCAGGGAUGUGGGAUGCAGGAUCCAGGAGCAGGGAUCCACAGGGAUCCUCAGGGAUCCCCAGGGAUCCCCAGAGACCCCCAGAGAUCCCCAGGGAUCCUCAGGGAUCCACAGGGAGCAGCGCUUUCCCCCUGCUCCCUCUUCCCUCAGCAAUUCCCUUCUCCCUGAGCCCCGGAUCCAGCCUGGAGCAAUCCCAGACUCCCAAAAUCCCUCCCUGGCUGGGAUCCCAACCCUUCCAGGUCUUCCUGGUUUUCCUUCAGCUCCCAGACUCUGGGAAGAUGCCAGGAUUCCUUGGGAAGAGAGGCUGGGAUGCCUGGGGCCUCCUGGGAGAGGAAGAGCCGGAAAUCCACAUCCCUCUCCUUACAAAAAUCCAUGUUUUUAUCCUUUAUUCCCACUUCCAGCGGCUCUCCCUGUCUUCCCAAACCCUUUCCUUCCACCCAUUCCCAAAAUCCCAGGGGAACGCUCCCUGAUUUCCAUCUGGACAAUUCCAUGGAAAAACCUCCCAGAUCCCUCCCAAAAUCCUCUUUUGGGGCUGAAAACUCCGGGAAAAAAUUUUCCCUGGGGAUGGGAAACAACCGGAAUUCCGGCCCAGGAACACCAAGGGAAAAGUCUUGGAUUGGGUCAUCCCACGGCGAUGGAUUUGGGAAUUUUUGACUGCCGAUGUUCCCGUUUUUCACGGAAAAUUCCUCAUGAGGGGGAAAAUGGAGGAGCUGGUGUUGGACACGGGGAUUUGGGGGGAUUUUAUCCCAAAUUUCUGGGAAUUGAGGCAUGGGUGACUCCAAAACUUUGUCCCGGUGUUUUUUCCCGAACAAAAGAGGAUCCUGGGGGGAAUUUGGGUGUUCCUGAUGGGAAUCAGGCUCUCCCUGCAAAACCCCAACCGACUAAAUCCGGGAAUCUCUGCAAUUCCUGGAUUUUCCCUCCCUUCCCUCCCCGCCUCCAAUCCUUUGGGAAAAGCCCCGGUUCCAGAGAUUCUUGGAAUCAAAUCCCAAUUUAUUCAGGGCUGGGUUUGUUCCAAAUCCAUCGCCACGGGAUGAUCCAAUCCAGGACUUUUCCCUUCGGCUGCCGGACCCCAAAGUUUUGCUCUUCCCAUCAAUUUUUCCAUGGAAAAACGCAACAUUCCCAACAUUCCGCUUUUCCAGCAUUCCCACAUUCCUUAGCCACGGAUUGGAGCAUCCCUUUGGAUGGGAGUCACCCCUGGAUGAGGCGGGUGAUGAUUUUUGGGAAGCUGGGAAUCGUUUCCCGAAGAUUCAACAGCUCUGAUGCUUCCUUGGAAAAGAAAACUAAACCAGGAUUCUUAAAAUUCCCCCAUUUCCAGCCCUUUCCCAAUGGGAAUUUUAACCCCUCUCGCCCCGGAGGGAGAAGGAAAAUCGGGAAUAACCCGGAAUGUUGGGAGCGGGAUUUGUUUUCCAAAGGCAAAGCUUCCUUGGCAGCCUCCGGAUUCCGCGGGGAAAUCCCGGGAGCGGCUCCCGGCCCGUCAGGUGGCUCCCAGGACAUGGGAGCAGACAGGGAAGCGCCGGGAAUCGCGGGAUGCGAAUCCCGCCGUGUCCGGAUCGCUCCGAUUUCUCCCGGCUUUUAA